GGCUUCGUGGUGUAGUGGUCAACACACUCGACGCGUAACCGCGAGGUCCGUGGUUCGAUUCCAGGUGAAGCCG
rnacentral:tRNA from 1 species